GCAGUCGAACGGCAGCACAGUAAGAGCUUGCUCUUAUGGGUGGCGAGUGGCGGACGGGUGAGGAAUACAUCGGAAUCUACCUUUUCGUGGGGGAUAACGUAGGGAAACUUACGCUAAUACCGCAUACGACCUUCGGGUGAAAGCAGGGGACCUUCGGGCCUUGCGCGGAUAGAUGAGCCGAUGUCGGAUUAGCUAGUUGGCGGGGUAAAGGCCCACCAAGGCGACGAUCCGUAGCUGGUCUGAGAGGAUGAUCAGCCACACUGGAACUGAGACACGGUCCAGACUCCUACGGGAGGCAGCAGUGGGGAAUAUUGGACAAUGGGCGCAAGCCUGAUCCAGCCAUACCGCGUGGGUGAAGAAGGCCUUCGGGUUGUAAAGCCCUUUUGUUGGGAAAGAAAAGCAAUCGAUUAAUACUCGGUUGUUCUGACGGUACCCAAAGAAUAAGCACCGGCUAACUUCGUGCCAGCAGCCGCGGUAAUACGAAGGGUGCAAGCGUUACUCGGAAUUACUGGGCGUAAAGCGUGCGUAGGUGGUUGUUUAAGUCUGUUGUGAAAGCCCUGGGCUCAACCUGGGAAUUGCAGUGGAUACUGGGCGACUAGAGUGUGGUAGAGGGGUAGUGGAAAUUUCCGGUGUAGCAGUGAAAUGCGUAGAGAUCGGGAGGAACAUC
rnacentral:rRNA from 1 species